AACAAUCAGUUUCAAACUCCGAGAUAACCCCGAGGCACUCAUUUCUAACCCCGGGAGGUCAGACACACCUCAAAGACAACCCCGAGAACAUCCAGUACUUACAAUAGCUCAAUCUUAGAGAUAACCCUGAGAAAUGACUACUACAUCUGCCCAAAACCGGAGAUAACCCCGUUGAGGGAAAAAAUCAUCAUUUUUCCACCUCGAUCCCACAUUGCGUCGUCUCAACAACAUUUCAACAAACAUUCUAUGCAGAAGUGUCCUACAAGAACCAUAGCUAUAUAUAAGCAAUAAGUGAUAUAU
rnacentral:lncRNA from 1 species